UGGUGCUUGCACCUGAUUGACGAUGGAUCACCAGUGAGUGGCGGACGGGUGAGUAACACGUAGGUAACCUGCCCCGGAGCGGGGGAUAACAUUUGGAAACAGAUGCUAAUACCGCAUAACAACAAAAGCCACAUGGCUUUUGUUUGAAAGAUGGCUUUGGCUAUCACUCUGGGAUGGACCUGCGGUGCAUUAGCUAGUUGGUAAGGUAACGGCUUACCAAGGCGAUGAUGCAUAGCCGAGUUGAGAGACUGAUCGGCCACAAUGGAACUGAGACACGGUCCAUACUCCUACGGGAGGCAGCAGUAGGGAAUCUUCCACAAUGGGCGCAAGCCUGAUGGAGCAACACCGCGUGAGUGAAGAAGGGUUUCGGCUCGUAAAGCUCUGUUGUUGGAGAAGAACGUGCGUGAGAGUAACUGUUCACGCAGUGACGGUAUCCAACCAGAAAGUCACGGCUAACUACGUGCCAGCAGCCGCGGUAAUACGUAGGUGGCAAGCGUUAUCCGGAUUUAUUGGGCGUAAAGCGAGCGCAGGCGGUUGCUUAGGUCUGAUGUGAAAGCCUUCGGCUUAACCGAAGAAGUGCAUCGGAAACCGGGCAACUUGAGUGCAGAAGAGGACAGUGGAACUCCAUGUGUAGCGGUGGAAUGCGUAGAUAUAUGGAAGAACACCAGUGGCGAAGGCGGCUGUCUGGUCUGCAACUGACGCUGAGGCUCGAAAGCAUGGGUAGCGAACAGGAUUAGAUACCCUGGUAGUCCAUGCCGUAAACGAUGAGUGCUAGGUGUUGGAGGGUUUCCGCCCUUCAGUGCCGGAGCUAACGCAUUAAGCACUCCGCCUGGGGGAGUACGACCGCAAGGUUGAAACUCAAAGGAAUUGACGGGGGCCCCGCACGAGCGGUGGAGCAUGUGGUUUAAAUUCGAAGCUAC
rnacentral:rRNA from 1 species